ensembl:lncRNA novel transcript
AGAACUCGUGAGCAACUCCUUAGUGGAUUGGGCUGAAAGAAAAUCAAACCCGUGAAAGCCCUGAAUUGAUGUGGUUAUGAAAGCGCAUUGGCCAAGCUGGCUUUCCUUCCUCUGACCCCCAUCUAACUAUGGUGAACGCCCUCGUUGAUCGAAUGGCACACAUCUGUGAAUAGACAGCCACAUCUCUGCUGCCAGAAUACAGCUGCUGAGGUGUUUGGGGCUUACUUGGAGAAAUGAGGACAUUGAUCUGGGUGAAUGGUAGUAGCUGUACACAUACAAAGUACUGUUCACUUCUUUGCUAAGGUUUUAUGUACACUCUGAGGAUAUCAGAGAAUUCGGAGAAAAUCCAUGGCACAGAUUGGAUGCAUAAUACAUCAGUGGGAUGAGGCUCCCAGGCUCCUGAUAGCAGGUAGAGGAGAGAACGAGACCGCAAAGAGGGAAGCCGAGAGGAGUGAUGAAGACCCUGGCCCUACCAUCUACUCAGGCUGUCUUUGCAGCCACACUGUGAGCCCAGGCUGGUUAACGCUUCCUCCUGGAGGAGAAAAGCUAAGAGAGAAAACAAAAUCCAUGCAGCGCGCUCCCCCUCGGCCCCUCCUCUCUGUCUCCUCUGUGCGCUAACCUCCAAUGCCCUGCGGGAACCAAUUACAGUAUUCUAAUGAGUGUA